AGCUCCCUUUUUCCCCCCUCCGAAUCAUUUUUGCAGACGUUAUUUUAUGCACUCUUCCGAAAUCCUUAUAAAAAUUAAUUAUAUACAUAUUGCUGUGUAUACACACAUUUGUAGUUUCUCACCAAACCAACGCAAUUUCCCCAAAUCUUGAAACUUAACGCAUUCAAAUUGUUCUUGUUUUUCCUUCAUACUUUUUGUCCCCCUCUGGGCUCUUUUGGGGUCCUUUGUAGGCUGUCUUGUUUCUUCUUAACCAGAGUCCACGGAGUUCCAAAUCAGUGUUGGUUUCCCGAUGCUGUUUUCUUCUUCAUCUGCCCACAUUUUUCCUCCCUGGGACCUGCUCAGUCCAUUCGCCAGGGCUCUUCACCUCUGUGUUGCCCACGCCCUUCUAAACAGGGGCUUUCUCGCGAGAGGUGUGGAAUAACAGCGUUAGAAAUGCACCCACUGACCCCGGACUGCGUGGAUUCAAAGCCUGGUUCUGGCGAGUUGCUUAACUCUCUGAACUUCUGUCUCCUCAUCUGUGCGACAGCAGAAACCAUGGUAUCCUCUGCACGGGUUGCUGCAAAGGUUAACUGAGUUAAUAGGUGCCAAGCCCUUGCUUGGGACAGAGCCUGGUGUAUAACAAUAAACGUUAGCAAUUGUCAUUGUGACUUCAACCAGCAGAUUGUUCUGUUAAAUAAUUGACAGCCUCUCUGAUGUCUCGUAGUUCUACGAUCUGCCUUGCAAGGAGACACAUUUAGGACACUGUUUCCAGCAGCUUCCUAUUGUUCCUUUGUAGUGCUCUACUCUGCCCAUAUUAGCACCUUCAGGACUUUGUCCCAACUCAGCUGCUGGGAGGAAGAAUAGAUCUGCCUUUGCUUACAGAAUGUGUGCUACAAACACGUCCCAGAGAAUGUAACUUUCAACUCACAGCAACGCAAGACAAAAACCACUUCCAGAAGGAUAUGCAUUCCACUUACUUUUUCUAGAUGCUCUAAAAAUCUGUCUUUGGAGUCAAUCACACCAACCAAGAGUUCUACAGCUGGCCCCAGUGUUUACCCACGUGGCACUAGCUGUCCUCAUCCACCUUUAGAGACCUGCUCUCUGGGUGCCUCCAGCAAGCCUCUCGCCAGAGGGAUGAGGAGUUACUAAGGGUCAGUGAGAUGUCCCCAGACCACAAGCCCUGGCUGCCCCUUUCAGACCAGCUUUUACAUCUGGGUCCCUGCGGUCCCCUCCUGGUACCUUCAUGGGCCUCUGUGCUGGCUCCUGUCCUUUGGAGGGCAGACCUCACAGCUGCUGUGGACACUCCUCAGGGCAGCUGUUGGCUGGGGGUCGGGCAGAGCUUGGGCACGUGGGCUGGGGUGGGGGGGUCCACAGGCGUGGGCAGGACGCCUGUCACGGUGUGGGGUGAAGCCAGGGUGGGAAUAAGACGAGGGUAAGGCUGUGGGCCUGGGGUCUCCACUUCAACUCUUGUCCCAGGUCCCAUAAAUGUUAGGGGGAGACAUUUUGCCCCCCUCUCCCAGACAGAUGCGACUUCACCGGACCACAGAGCCAUGCCAUUGGCAGGCAGGGUGAGAGCCAGCCCUAGACACUCAACACUGCGGUUACCGGGAGGCCCAGGACCUGCCCUCGGGGCUGAAGAUCAGGAUGCUUCCGAAGGACUAAUUAUGUUUACCUUCUGUCACUGUAAAUGUUGUAACAUGUAUUUGUUGCUAGAACACUCCACACUCCCAGCAAGUGCUUUGCACUAACCCCUCUCGGGCCUUAUCUUAUUUUUCCUACUCUUAUUUUCCUUUCGCCCACACACUCUUUGUUUAUAAAACCUGGGUAUCAUGUAUAUAUUUUUGUAAGUUGCCUCAUAUCCUGUUAGACACAGGGCUGGGUAGAAAACAAAAAGGGAAGGAACAGAGGACAGAUGGAAAAAGAGAACAAGACUUGUCAGCCUCAAGACUGGCCAGGGGCGCUGGAAGCACAUACCCUCUUGGCUCAUUGUCUUCAGAACCAAUAAGGCUAGUGCCAGCUGACACGGUAACCAUGGAAACCAAGCAUCCAGGGCUGGGGCGGGGCGUGGCUCCUGCCCUGGCUGCAUUCUUGACAGCUGGUUGAGCGUGGAAGCCCAGGCCUUGGCAUCCCAGUUUCCUGCAAGCUCCCUGACAGAGGCAUGGACCCUCAAGCCUCAUCUUUGUGUGCCCAUGCUUGAGGGUCUUCCAGGCCUGACCCAGGAGGCUUGCACGGCCUGUCCAGGACUCCCGGCUUGCCAUGCACCUGCAGGCCGCAGCUUUGCUUGGAACGAGACCUCAUCCUAUGGCCCAGACAUAGCAACCUGCGACGGGGAGUCAGCCACCAAACCGAAGCUCCGUGAGUGCUUCUGGAGAGGGAGUUUUGUGAGAGCCCCGAGCCAAGCAGCCACCUCCAGAACAUCUCAAAACAGACACAGCCCUGAAACAACCACAUUUUGCUUUAUUAGGCGUUCCAUGGUAAUAUAACACAGAGGUUUUAAGGAAUAAUAAACACGAGACUUGGUUUUUUACCAUAAUUAUUUUGCCAUUAAGACAGUGGUUACAAAAAAAAAAACAAAACAAAACCAAAAGUAUUCUUCUGGCUACACACUUUAUCAGCUUUAGAACUGAAAGUUCCUCCACUCAUGGGUCACGAUCACAAUUUCAAGGAUUAAAAACCAUCUAUUCUUAAAUCCUACACUGUUUUAGAGCAUCAAGCCACUGCAGUUAUUCAGUUCUGAGACACUGUCGAUUUAUUUUUAGCAUUUACAUAUGACAUUCAUUUAACAGACACACAAAGCAAGCCCACAGGUAAACAUGCUUACAACAGCCUGCAGAAAUCUUCAGGUUUUCAAUUGUUUGUUUUUUACGAAAACAAUCAAAACAACCAAAAUGACCAUGACCUGGUACAGGAAAAACAGGAAGACUCAAGUGAAUACUAAAGAGCUGCAAGUGUUUCUUAGAAUUGAAACAAAACAAAAAAAAAAAAUUUUUUUUCCAACUUGUUCAGAUUUCCUCUAAGUGCAGGU